CACGUAGGGGGCAAGCGUUGUCCGGAUUUAUUGGGCGUAAAGAGCUCGUAGGCGGUUCGCUAAGUCGGGUGUGAAACCUCCAGGCUCAACCUGGAGACGCCACCUGAUACUGGUGUGACUCGAGUCCGGUAGGGGAGCGUGGAAUUCCUGGUGUAGCGGUGAAAUGCGCAGAUAUCAGGAGGAACACCAGCGGCGAAGGCGGCGCUCUGGGCCGGUACUGACACUGAGGAGCGAAAGCGUGGGUAGCAAACAGG
rnacentral:rRNA from 1 species